GGGCCCAUAGCUCAGCUGGUUAGAGUAGGUGACUCAUAAUCACUUGGUCGCAGGUUCAAGCCCUGCUGGGCCCA
rnacentral:tRNA from 1 species